AUAUCAAUAAGCGGAGGAAAAGAAACUAACAAGGAUUCCCCUAGUAACGGCGAGUGAAGCGGGAUGAGCUCAAAUUUAAAAUCUGGCGGUCUCAGAUCGUCCGAGUUGUAGUCUAGAGAAGCGUUUUCCGUGCUGGCCUGUGUACAAGUCCGUUGGAACACGGCGUCAUAGAGGGUGAGAAUCCCGUCCUUGACACAGAUCUCCAGUGCUUUGUGAUGCGCUCUCAAAGAGUCGAGUUGUUUGGGAAUGCAGCUCAAAAUGGGUGGUAAAUUCCAUCUAAAGCUAAAUAUUGGCGAGAGACCGAUAGCGCACAAGUA
rnacentral:rRNA from 1 species